rnacentral:rRNA from 1 species
UACGUAGGGUGCAAGCGUUUGUCCGGAAUUAUUGGGCGUAAAGGGCUCGUAGGCGGUUUGUCGCGUCGGGAGUGAAAACCCAGGGCUUAACCCUGGGCUGGCUUCCGAUACGGGCAGACUAGAGGUAUGCAGGGGAGAACGGAAUUCCUGGUGUAGCGGUGAAAUGCGCAGAUAUCAGGAGGAACACCGGUGGCGAAGGCGGUUCUCUGGGCAUUACCUGACGCUGAGGAGCGAAAGUGUGGGGAGCGAACAGG